CCUACGGGCGGCUGCAGUGGGGAAUUUUUCGCAAUGGGCGCAAGCCUGACGAAGCAACGCCGCGUGGAGGAUGAAGGUCUUCGGAUUGUAAACUCCUGUCGACCGGGACGAAUGCACUCGACCUAAUACGUCGGAAUGUUGACGGUACCGGUGGAGGAAGCCACGGCUAACUCUGUGCCAGCAGCCGCGGUAAUACAGAGGUGGCAAGCGUUGUGCGGAAUUACUGUGGGUAAAGUUGGCGGUCGCGGGCGACAGCCCUCGGCUUAACUGAGGAUCUGCACGGGAUACUGCGAGGCUUGAGUUCGGGAGAGGAAAGCGGAAUUCCGGGUGUAGCGGUGAAAUGCGUAGAUAUCCGGAGGAACACCAGUGGCGAAGGCGGCUUUCUGGACCGACACUGACGCUGAGGCGCGAAAGCUAGGGGAGCAAACGGGAUUAGAUACCCUAGUAGUC
rnacentral:rRNA from 1 species